ensembl:lncRNA
AURAAGAGGAGGAUUCCACCUCCAUAUUUCCCCCCAAAUGGCUACAAUCAUCUUCURUCCAUCAUGACAUGUUUCAAGGAAGAAGUUAGAAAUCUCUCGGCCCUCAAGGACUGACUGACAAGGAUACCCUUCCUAAAGGACUACUACCAGAUGACUGCCACAGCUUUCAAAAAUGGACACAAUUGGAGUCAAACCCAUCAAAAGACAGAAGAGGAAAGAACCAAUACUUUAGCCAAGUGAGCAGAGAAGCAUCUAUUUUGUUCCUGCCAAUAAACUGAAGACAACAAGCAGAGAGUGCAAUAACGAUGUAUAAGCCAUAACUUGAUGAAAGAAUACCUAAAGGUGAACUUCGGGCAGGGCAUGCACACGCCACGGCAUCUCCAGCAGUCCUGGCCCUCCACUGGCCCCGCUGGAAGGACUCCUGUCACCCCAAUGUGGCCUUCUUGAGCCCGUGUGCCCCAAUUUUCCUUCCUCAGAACGGGUGUAGGUUGUGCCCAGGAUAUGCACAUGGAUGGAUGCACCUGGAAAUGUUUCUGUAUCCUACUGAGAGAGUUAUCCGGCGGUUUAGUCUCCUUUUAGACACUCAAGGUUGGAAAAAGAUGAUGUUAUGUUUUUACUUCUUUCAUAAUAUAUACUACCUACCUAUUUUUUUCCCCUCAAAACACAGCUUUCAUACUUUCAGUUUUUUGCCUUUGGGAGACAAUAAAA